UGGGGAAUCUUGCGCAAUGGGCGAAAGCCUGACGCAGCAACGCCGCGUGCGGGAUGACGGCCCUCGGGUUGUAAACCGCUUUCAGUGGGGACGAACCAAGACGGUACCCACAGAAGAAGGUCCGGCCAACUACGUGCCAGCAGCCGCGGUAACACGUAGGGACCAAGCGUUGUCCGGAUUCAUUGGGCGUAAAGAGCUCGUAGGCGGCUCAGUAAGUCGGGUGUGAAACCUCCAGGCUCAACCUGGAGACGCCACCCGAUACUGCUGUGGCUAGAGUCCAGUAGGGGAGCGUGGAAUUCCUGGUGUAGCGGUGAAAUGCGCAGAUAUCAGGAGGAACACCAGCGGCGAAGGCGGCGCUCUGGGCUGGAACUGACGCUGAGGAGCGAAAGCGUGGGGAGCGAACAGG
rnacentral:rRNA from 1 species